CAAAAUAUGUUCUGAAAUUCGAGUGCAUUAAUUCAUGUGCACUUUGUGGAAUUAUUCACAUUUAGCUUGUUUUUAGUUACAAAUCUAAUAUAAUUCUUUUUAGGAUUUUGGCUAAACGUACAGAACACAUCGACUGUCUCUCAAAAUUCUCCUGAGAAUCAGAACAAUUUGGAAAGAACAGAUCUUAGUCUAGGAUCUAUUCGAUCGGCUCACGGCUACCGGAGGAUCGUUGUUAUCGGAUAGCUCACUCUGUAUAUUCGCUAUGUGAUAGCCGAUAACAUUGGGAAAUCAAAGUGUCAGAUCGUUUCGCAAUGGUUGCGCCAAAUACAAUGCUACCAGAGCAAGGAACUUUUCCAAUUCGAUGCGGAAGUAAUCUGUGCGCGGCGAC